GGAUGGGUGGCCGAGCGGUUGAAGGCACCGGUCUUGAAAACCGGCGAACGUGCAAGCGUUCCGUGGGUUCGAAUCCCACCCCAUCCGCCA
rnacentral:tRNA from 2 species